AUAAUGGCCAUAAUACAUAUAUUGCAAUUAGAACAAUAAAGAGAAGAAAACAUAAUUCCUGGGUAAUGAUGACAGACAAAUUUAUGAAAUGUUCAAUAUUUUU
ensembl:snRNA U6 U6 spliceosomal RNA